CCCUUCUCAGGGUCGCACCUGGAGAGUUUCCAGUAUUCUACCAGUCUCGACUAUGGGAGGGAAAGUCAAGCAGAGGCAUACCAACUCCAUUCCUAGCGUGGGCAGUCACUAGUGAGUGUAAGGCAAUCAGCUACAAGU